UCCGUCCCCGCCUCGUGCUUCUCACCACAGAGAGAUUCAGGAUGU
rnacentral:ribozyme from 1 species